rnacentral:rRNA from 1 species
CCUACGGGUGGCUGCAGUGAGGAAUAUUGGUCAAUGGACGCGAGUCUGAACCAGCCAAGUAGCGUGCGGGAGUACUGCCCUAUGGGUUGUAAACCUCUUUUGUCGGGGAGCAAACUCCGGACGUGUUCGGCUGUGAGAGUACCCGCAGAAAAAGCAUCGGCUAACUCCGUUCCAGCAGCCGCGGUAAUACGGAGGAUGCGGGCGUUAUCCGGAUUCACUGGGUGUAAAGGGGGCGUAGACGGCCAAGCAAGCCAGGGGUGAAAGCCCGGGGCCCAACCCCGGGACUGCACUUGGAACUGGAUGGCUGGAGUGCGGGAGGGGCAGGUGGAAUUCCUGGUGUAGCGGUGAAAUGCGUAGAUAUCAGGAGGAACACCGGCGGCGAAGGCGGCCUGCUGGACCGCGACUGACGUUGAGGCUCGAAAGCGUGGGGAGCGAACAGGAUUAGAUACCCCAGUAGUC